GGGUUGUGAGGUUAAGCGACUAAGCGUACACGGUGGAUGCCCUGGCAGUCAGAGGCGAUGAAGGACGUGCUAAUCUGCGAAAAGCGUCGGUAAGGUGAUAUGAACCGUUAUAACCGGCGAUGUCCGAAUGGGGAAACCCAGUGUGAUUCGUCACACUAUCGUUAACUGAAUACAUAGGUUAACGAGGCGAACCGGGGGAACUGAAACAUCUAAGUACCCCGAGGAAAAGAAAUCAACCGAGAUUCCCCCAGUAGCGGCGAGCGAACGGGGAGCAGCCCAGAGUCUGAAUCAGCUUGUGUGUUAGUGGAACGGUCUGGAAAGUCCGACGGUACAGGGUGAUAGUCCCGUACACCAAAAUGCACAGGUUGUGAACUCGAAGAGUAGGGCGGGACACGUGGUAUCCUGUCUGAAUAUGGGGGGACCAUCCUCCAAGGCUAAAUACUCCUGACUGACCGAUAGUGAACCAGUACCGUGAGGGAAAGGCGAAAAGAACCCCGGCGAGGGGAGUGAAAAAGAACCUGAAACCGUGUACGUACAAGCAGUGGGAGCACCUUCGGGUGUGACUGCGUACCUUUUGUAUAAUGGGUCAGCGACUUAUAUUCUGUAGCAAGGUUAACCGUAUAGGGGAGCCGCAGGGAAACCGAGUCUUAACUGGGCGUUAAGUUGCAGGGUAUAGACCCGAAACCCGGUGAUCUAGCCAUGGGCAGGUUGAAGGUUGGGUAACACUAACUGGAGGACCGAACCGACUAAUGUUGAAAAAUUAGCGGAUGACUUGUGGCUGGGGGUGAAAGGCCAAUCAAACCGGGAGAUAGCUGGUUCUCCCCGAAAGCUAUUUAGGUAGCGCCUCGUGAACUCAUCUUCGGGGGUAGAGCACUGUUUCGGCUAGGGGGUCAUCCCGACUUACCAACCCGAUGCAAACUACGAAUACCGAAGAAUGUUAUCACGGGAGACACACGGCGGGUGCUAACGUCCGUCGUGAAGAGGGAAACAACCCAGACCGCCAGCUAAGGUCCCAAAGUCAUGGUUAAGUGGGAAACGAUGUGGGAAGGCACAGACAGCCAGGAUGUUGGCUUAGAAGCAGCCAUCAUUUAAAGAAAGCGUAAUAGCUCACUGGUCGAGUCGGCCUGCGCGGAAGAUGUAACGGGGCUAAACCAUGCACCGAAGCUGCGGCAGCGACACUAUGUGUUGUUGGGUAGGGGAGCGUUCUGUAAGCCUGCGAAGGUGACCUGUGAGGGUUGCUGGAGGUAUCAGAAGUGCGAAUGCUGACAUAAGUAACGAUAAAGCGGGUGAAAAGCCCGCUCGCCGGAAGACCAAGGGUUCCUGUCCAACGUUAAUCGGGGCAGGGUGAGUCGACCCCUAAGGCGAGGCCGAAAGGCGUAGUCGAUGGGAAACAGGUUAAUAUUCCUGUACUUGGUGUUACUGCGAAGGGGGGACGGAGAAGGCUAUGUUAGCCGGGCGACGGUUGUCCCGGUUUAAGCAUGUAGGCUGGUUGUCCAGGCAAAUCCGGAUAAUCAAGGCUGAGGUGUGAUGACGAGGCACUACGGUGCUGAAGUAACAAAUGCCCUGCUUCCAGGAAAAGCCUCUAAGCAUCAGGUAACAUCAAAUCGUACCCCAAACCGACACAGGUGGUCAGGUAGAGAAUACCAAGGCGCUUGAGAGAACUCGGGUGAAGGAACUAGGCAAAAUGGUGCCGUAACUUCGGGAGAAGGCACGCUGGUGUGUAGGUGAAGUCCCUGCGGAUGGAGCUGAGACCAGUCGAAGAUACCAGCUGGCUGCAACUGUUUAUUAAAAACACAGCACUGUGCAAACACGAAAGUGGACGUAUACGGUGUGACGCCUGCCCGGUGCCGGAAGGUUAAUUGAUGGGGUUAUCCGUAAGGAGAAGCUCUUGAUCGAAGCCCCGGUAAACGGCGGCCGUAACUAUAACGGUCCUAAGGUAGCGAAAUUCCUUGUCGGGUAAGUUCCGACCUGCACGAAUGGCGUAAUGAUGGCCAGGCUGUCUCCACCCGAGACUCAGUGAAAUUGAACUCGCUGUGAAGAUGCAGUGUACCCGCGGCAAGACGGAAAGACCCCGUGAACCUUUACUAUAGCUUGACACUGAACAUUGAGCCUUGAUGUGUAGGAUAGGUGGGAGGCUUUGAAGCGUGGACGCCAGUCUGCGUGGAGCCAACCUUGAAAUACCACCCUUUAAUGUUUGAUGUUCUAACGUUGGCCCCUUACCGGGGUUGCGGACAGUGUCUGGUGGGUAGUUUGACUGGGGCGGUCUCCUCCCAAAGCGUAACGGAGGAGCACGAAGGUUAGCUAAUCCUGGUCGGACAUCAGGAGGUUAGUGCAAUGGCAUAAGCUAGCUUGACUGCGAGCGUGACGGCGCGAGCAGGUGCGAAAGCAGGUCAUAGUGAUCCGGUGGUUCUGAAUGGAAGGGCCAUCGCUCAACGGAUAAAAGGUACUCCGGGGAUAACAGGCUGAUACCGCCCAAGAGUUCAUAUCGACGGCGGUGUUUGGCACCUCGAUGUCGGCUCAUCACAUCCUGGGGCUGAAGUAGGUCCCAAGGGUAUGGCUGUUCGCCAUUUAAAGUGGUACGCGAGCUGGGUUUAGAACGUCGUGAGACAGUUCGGUCCCUAUCUGCCGUGGGCGCUGGAGAAUUGAGGGGGGCUGCUCCUAGUACGAGAGGACCGGAGUGGACGCAUCACUGGUGUUCGGGUUGUCAUGCCAAUGGCACUGCCCGGUAGCUAAAUGCGGAAGAGAUAAGUGCUGAAAGCAUCUAAGCACGAAACUUGCCCCGAGAUGAGUUCUCCCUGAGACUUUAAGUCUCCUGAAGGAACGUUAAAGACGAUGACGUUGAUAGGCCGGGUGUGUAAGCGCAGCGAUGCGUUGAGCUAACCGGUACUAAUGAACCGUGAGGCUUAACCUUACAACGCCGAAG
rnacentral:rRNA from 2 species